rnacentral:rRNA from 1 species
UACGUAGGGGGCAAGCGUUGUCCGGAAUUAUUGGGCGUAAAGAGCGCGUAGGCGGUCCGGUAAGUCGGCUGUGAAAGUCAAGGGCUCAACCUUUGAAUGUCAGCGGAUACUGCCGGGCUAGAGUCCGGAAGAGGCGAGUGGAACUCCUGGUGUAGCGGUGGAAUGCGCAGAUAUCAGGAAGAACACCAACGGCGAAGGCAGCUCGCUGGGACGGAACUGACGCUAAGGCGCGAAAGCGUGGGGAGCGAACAGG